UUAUUUUUUGUAUUUUUUUGUAUUUUAUAUACUUUUAUUAUUUCGGGUUUUUUAGAGGACAAAGCUUAAACUAGAGUUUUUGAGAGAUUACGGAAGGCGCCCGCGUGAUGAGGGAGUCGAGCGUCAAGCGUGGCGAUGAGGAUCCGCACAAAGCGGAGAACGCGAUAGCCAUGAUAAAUACAGAUGUGAGACAAAAGAAUCAAAAGAUAUACAAAAGUAUAGAGAGCAUGUCAGGGUAUAACACAGUGAGGAGAUAUAGGUACUUUUGCAUACUAGGGGGCAUUAGAGUUCCUCUAAUAAGAGUCGCGACAUCUUAUUAGAGGGACUCUAUGGGGCACCGGGCAGCAGCGCCCCUACAGAUCCGGCGCCCCGGGCAGUCGCCCCACUGCGCCCUACCCUAAAGCCGGUACUGUAUAUAUAUAUAUGUUAUAGGCCAGUAAAGUUAUUUUCAGUAAAGAUGAGCUUUUGACUAGUCAAAUGCUAUCUGCCAAGUGAAAUGGCUUUCGCCCGGAAAUAAAUUUGGAUAUUGUUCCGAAUGAGACACUUCGAGUUUAUAGCAGCUAUUUUGCGUAUUGCGUACUGUAAAUGGAUAAAACAAUAUAAAUAAUAUACAAUGUUCCAACCUCAUUGAAUGUUGCAAAUCCAUGUGGAACCUCGCCUUCGCGUGGAAAAAUGUAUAUGCGUGGCGUGGACAUAGUGGGGGUUCCGCUCCUUUGCGGCGGGUUCCACUAUAAAAAAAAACUAGAUACAUAGGUUUAGGCUAUCUCGCUUCGUGUAGAAAGUUUCAAACCUAUGUGAAAUCUCGCUUCGCGUGGAAAAGUAUAUGCUAAAUACUAUUUGCCUAACAACAGUUCAGUCAAAUAAUAUUUGACUAGGAAAGUAGCGUUUGAAAAAAGGCGAAAACCAUUUGACAUGGCAGAUAGCAUUUGACUAGUCAAAAGCUAUUUAUUAAAAAUAACCAUUGGUCUACGACAUAUAUGUAUAUACAUAUAUAGGAUAUCUCAUUUAAAUGCCGCAAGCAAAUAUCUCGAAAAAUAUAAAAGAUACAGAAAAAUGUUUCAAAUAAAAUUGUUUGAUUCAAAGAACAUAAGAUGAUACCACUGAUAUGACCUUGAAUAAUCAUUUGAUCACGUAAAGGUCACUUCAAUUUCUGAAAUGGAACCUAUUAUUUUUUAUUGCAUAUUCUUAUAGCUUAUCUUGAGAGCUUUCCAAAAUACUGCAAUAAAGUAUUUUUUUCUUAAGUACUGUUUGAGUUAUAAGGUUUCAGAUUUAAAUAUAUUGUAGGAAUUGAAAAUUAAGGAAAUACAUUAUUACUACAAACGAUCCAUGAACCAUGGCCUGCUAUCAUUUGCAAGCCGUUUUGUGAGAAUAUCACAACCAGUUUCCGUUACUAAAAGCGUAUUCUCAAAUUGUGCCGACCACUGACCAUCUAAUGUAACGGCUGUCCAAUUAUCAGGCCACGUUUCGUCCUUCCAAGUGCCUUGGGAUAUCAUCGGUUCGAUUGUGAAACAGUGUCCUGGUUUCAUAACACCCACUGCUUUGUUUUCUGUUAUAUAAAAAAAUAUGUGAAAUAAAAUUUAUAUAAUUUGAUA